GGUCUCAAGCGUUGUUCGGAUUCAUUGGGCGUAAAGGGUGCGUAGGCGGCGCGGUAAGUCGGGUGUGAAAUCUCGGGGCUUAACUCCGAAACUGCAUUCGAUACUGCCGUGCUUGAGGACUGGAGAGGAGACUGGAAUUUACGGUGUAGCGGUGAAAUGCGUAGAUAUCGUAAGGAAGACCAGUGGCGAAGGCGGGUCUCUGGACAGUUCCUGACGCUGAGGCCCGAAGGCCAGGGGA
rnacentral:rRNA from 1 species